CGGAGGAUCCAAGCGUUAUCCGGAAUCAUUGGGUUUAAAGGGUCCGUAGGCGGGCCUGUAAGUCAGUGGUGAAGUCCGGCGGCUUAACCGUCGAACUGCCAUUGAUACUGCAGGUCUUGAAUUAUUGGGAAGUAACUAGAAUAUGUAGUGUAGCGGUGAAAUGCUUAGAUAUUACAUGGAAUACCGAUUGCGAAGGCAGGUUACUAUCAAUAUAUUGACGCUGAUGGACGAAAGCGUGGGGAGCGAACAGGAUUAGAUACCCUGGUAGUCCACGCCGUAAGCGAUGGAUACUAGCUGUUGGGCGCAAGUUCAGUGGCUAAGCGAAAGUGAUAAGUAUCCCACCUGGGGAGUACGAACGCAAGUUUG
rnacentral:rRNA from 1 species